GGCAAGAUGGCUGAGUGGUCUAUAGCGUGUGACUCAAGCGAAAGCUUACCUGGAAUCCUCAGGUUUCUCAUCUCCGUAUGGAGGCGUGGGUUCGAAUCCCACUCUUGUCA